rnacentral:lncRNA from 1 species
UUUUUUUUUUUUUUUUUUUUUUGUCUUUUUGCCUUUUCUAGGGCCGCUCUCUCUCGCAGCAUAUGGAGAUUCCCAGGCUAGGGGUCUAAUUGGAGCUGUAGCCACCAGCCUACGCCUGAGCCACGGCAACGCAGGAUCUGGGCCGCAUCUGCAUCCUACACUGCAACUCACAGCAAUGCCGGAUCCUCCACCCACUGAGCAAGGCCAGGGAUCGAACCCUCAACCUCAUGGUUCCUAGUCGGAUUCGUUAACCACUGAGCCACGACAGGAACUCCGAUCCUUCAUACUUUUAAUUUAGCCGGUAUCUAUUUUCUAGAAAUCUAGUUAUGAGUUAGGCACUCUUCUAAGUGCUGAGAAAAGUGUUGAACAAAACAGGCAGAAUCUGUGUUUAUGGGGCUCUUACAACGAUGGCGGGGGCGGGGGUGGCAUGAAGAUAUUAAAUACACAGACUCCAGGCUAAAUGUAGUGGAUUGAUUUCAUUCAUCCUUGUUCUCUCCUGAAAUCACCCUAAAGUCAGAUUCAGGUCACUGAAAACCCACCAAGAAAAAUAAAGUGGAAGAGAUGACAACAGCACAGAAUGCUCAUCAAAUUUGGGGGAGAGAAAAAAGCAAAUGGCAGGUGACAACUGACUUAGCAGAAUGGAGGAGGCUCAAGUGGCCCGCCUGUGGAGGGAGGUGUCCAUGUAAAGGAGUCAGGGCGCCCCCCCCCCGCCCCCGGGCACCCUGGGAAGGUCUGAGGAGUCAGGGCAUCCGAUGUCGUAGCCAGUAGGAUGGAGCCGGGGGCUAAGACGGGGCACUGGCCUCUGCAGCCAGGCAAGCAUCCUUCUUCCAAAUCAGGGAGGCAAGGCAGAUGAGGGGGAGGCUAUCCCUGGAGAAACUGAACCAGAGAGCACAGGGGCACCACGCACAUCGACAGAUGGGGGCAAAGCUUCAGCAUACAACAGGAAGACGGGUUAAAUUCUGCCUACUGAACAGUCAGAUUCUCAGCCUCCUUGGCUAACUGAGCUUUCAUAAGGGUAACAGCCAAGAUGUCACAACUCCCAUCCCUCACCCUCACCCCAGACUGAAGGCAGGAAAAUUUUCCCCUAGAAAAACCAAACAUCCCGAGGGGGGUGGGGGCAAACAGAAUUCAGGGGUCUUCCAAAAAAAAAAAAAAAAAAAAAGCCAGCUCCCUGUCCAUUCACCCUACGAUGAAGCCCACCAACAGGGACCCACCCCUAUUCAAAGAGCUGCCAAUCAAGUUUUUAAAAAAUGAUUCACACUCUUAAAUAUGAAUAAAUAAGUAUCACCAGAUAUUCUAGGAAAGCCUUCACCAUUAAGAUCCGAUAAGCAAAGAAGGAACUCAGAAGAAACAGACACGAAGUCACGGAAGAGAAGAGAAAAAAAAAAAAACCUUCAAAAAAUAUAUAAGGAGUUCCCCUUGUGGUACAGCAGUAAUGAACCUGACUAGUAUACAUGAAGACAAGGGUUUGGCCCCUGGCCCAGUACAGUGGGUUAAGGUUCCAGUGUUGCUGUGAGCUGUGAUGUAGGCCAGCAGUUGCAGCUCUGAUUCAACCUCUAGCUUGGGAAUUUCCAUAUGCCAUGGGUGCUGCCCUAAAAAACAAAUAUAUGUAUUUGUGUAUAUAUAUAUAUACAUACACACAUAUAUAUGAUUAAUAUAGAUGUUAAUAUACAUAAUAUAUAAAUAUAAAUAUAUAUAAAAAUAUAUAUGAUUAAUGUCAUCAGAGAGAUGAAAGCAGAUAUUUUACCUGAAAUAAAAGAGAUAGAUAGAGAACGAUGAUACAGUGAUGAAUAGAUGAGAUAGAUAGAGAUAGAGACUGCCAUGUAUAAAAUUAAAGCACAAAGAAGAGCUCUUGCCUAUUAAAAAUGACAGCAAAAAUUCAAAAUUCAAUAAAAGUUCUGAAAGAUAAAUAGAAGAAAUGUCCCCAAAAGUGGAACAGAAAGAGACUAAGAGGAAUACAGAUAAUGGGAGAGAAAAUGAGAAUAUUCAAGGAUCAGUUCAGAAGAUCCAGCAUUUGACCACUGGGAAUUUCAGAGAAAAUGGAGGGGAUAAUUAUCAAAGAAAUAAUGGAAGAAAAUUUCCCAGAACUGGGUGAGUUUGGUUUCCAGAUUGAAAAGUCACUGAAGGCCCAAGAUAUGUGGUCAUGAUGUUUCAGACGCCAAAACGAGAGGCUCCUAAAUGCUUCCAGAAAGGGAGCAGCAGGGGAGACACCAUCAGCGGACUGCAGGGUGAUCUCCUGGGGGAAAAGGUGUUACAGAUUAUUCGAUCCACUUGUUCAUGUGACAAAUAAUAUUGAUAGAUGUUCUCUCAUUCUGUUGAGUCGCAAAGAAAAAUUAUACGAAGAUUUUGGAAAGAAAGCAAACCAAAAAUGAGGAAAAGCAUAAAGUUGCCCAAGAAAGAAACAGAACCAUCACAGAGUCCUAUCUCAGGAGUGAACAUGUUUCAUUUAUUGUCCCAUAAGAAGAGACCAUUGAAUUAACUUUCACAAGUGUGAUGUAAGUACAUUUUGGGGCAGUAAAGCUAUGCGCUAAGACUUCUGCCAUAAUCGGAAGUCAGGAGAGAAGGUAAAAAAUUAUCUUAUCAAAUAACAGAGAAAAGAGAAACUGUAGCCCUUGCCUUUUGUGGGCAGCCCCUAGUAUUUACUGCCAGGGAGGGUAAGGGAAUUGCCCAGGGGGGCUGUAAAGUUCUGGGUUUGGGUGGCAGUUUGGUUACAUAGUUGCAUGACUAGCUCUGAACUCAAGGGUUGGUACCCUGAAGGCCUACACAUUUCCUGCUUGUAAAUUUAUCUCAAAAGGAAAAAGAACCAGUGAUAUGUGUGGUGAAGUGUGUAGGAAGGACAUGAACUCACGUCUGCAACUUACAUGGAAAUGUACCAAAAGAGGGAAUGACUGAUGGCUAGAAGGAAGGAAAAUUAGAAAAGUUUUGAGAUGGGGCAAGCAGUAAAUGGUUAAUUGCAGAAUUAAAUGGUGAGUGUUUAGAUAUCCACUGUGAAUCCAACCUUUUUAUAUAUUUGAAAAAUUUUUGUAAUAAAAUGUCAAGAAAAAAGUGGAAGAAUGAGUACGUUGCUUAGGUGAAGGGAUCGAAACACCAGGAGAAACGGCCCAGAGUUCAAAGGGGUUGAAUCUGGAGGGUGGAAAAAGAUGAUCAGAACCUGCUGCCUUUCCUGAAAAAGCUCUUAACAUUAUUCGAUUUUUAAAUUUUGUGUGUCUAUCACUUUGGUUAAAAAAGCCAAUUUAAAAAGGAAAGGAAAGACUUAUUGAUAAUUAUUUUUAAGAUGAAAAGUACACAAAAGUACACAAUUUCUUAAUUGGGGAGGGGCCAUGAAAGACAAGGGCAGCGUUCCUUUGGCGGGGGAGGGGGGCUUUACAUAGUAAAGACUCCUCAGAUGGAGCCUUAGGCAUAAAAUCCAGGAAAACGUGUCCCUUUGCUCUGGAGUCAGAACAAGGUCCUCGUCCCCAGCAGGAUUUCAGAGAUUCCCUCUCUCCCUCUGGAUAAGAAGCUGAAGGUGUUCACAGGGCAUUCGAGUCAGAAGGAAGGAGAAUUCAAAAAAAGACGCUUGGGGAGAUGUGGGAGAAAUUAGGCUGAUUCAUGCCGGAAGAGCGAAAUUUUCCCAUCAGGAAAUUGGAAGGAACUGGGGCAUUUGGGGCUUGCUAGGGACCAGGAAAAGCUGGGACAAAGGCAAGGAGGCUCUUUGCCCCUGGGGAAAGGGCUUGGAAACUGCUGAGGGAGCUGCCGCAGGAGCCCAGAGAGCAGGAGGUGUCCAGGGUCUGGAUGUCGGACGUGAGAGACAGCCAUGCACCUUUGGCUGGCAGGUGCCCGCCCCUGGUGACAGUCAAUGGCACCAGGCAGGGACGCCCAGGGCUCUGGCACAGAGCCGACAGCUGCCACUGUGAGGUUUUUAUGCUAAUGCCGCUUGUCAAGCUGGAAGCGCUCAGGGCAGCUGGACUUGACAGGGAAGCAGCUGGGUCCCCUGGGUUUUGUUUCCCUGGAGCCUCUCCCGAGUCCUCUGAGAUGUCCAGCAAGAGCUCGGCACUGACUGCAGGCUGGAGGGGGUGGGCUGGCAGCUGCAGAGGGGAGCGGGACCCCAGGGCGCCACAGAAGGAAAUGCCAUCCCCCUCUACCACCCCCUCUAAAGUUGGACCCCGACAGCCAGAAUGGAUGGCACGACUGGAUUUGCUCAGUGGGAAUGAAUUUCUAGAGAAUUCACUCUAGAUCAAUUAGUUCAGCCCCAGGGAAGCUAAGAGGGCAGAGCACAGGGCACUAGAGAUAAAGAUCCGGGUCCUCAUCCAGGUCCCGUCACUCUCACUGUGUGACCUUGGCCAAGUUACGGUACCUCUGCGCACACUUCAACUCGCUCCUCUGUGAAUUGAUGGUGAAAGCGAUGGUUUAGGUGCACUUAUUAAUUUAGCAUGUAUCCACUGAAGACUUCCUGUGUACCAGGCGCCAUGCUACGCAAUGUAAAGAGGAAUAAAUACCUCCCUGAUCUCAGACAGGUUAGCCUUCUCCUAGGGAAGGCGGGACACUCCUCCAAUCUCAUGGUCCAGGACCUGGGGGCCAGGUGCCUCAGGAGCCCAGGCGAGGGCGUACCUCAUAGCAUGUGACAGCAUCAUUUCCACCCCAAGGCACAUCAGGGCCCUGACCCGGGCCUGAGGUCUUCUUGGAGAUUCCUGAACAUUACUUUCAAAACUAGUAAGGACUCAUCAUCUUAGGCACAGAAUCCUAACAGGCAGGCUUGAUGGGGGAAGUCUUCUUUCUGCCUUUUGCCACGGGAGUUUGGGAGCCUUGAUGGCCUGAAUAAAGCACCGAAGUCAGAGUCCAAAGACCCAUUUCUAGUUCCCAGGAGCUGAGUGACUGCAGGCAGAAGGGCUCUUCCUGUCUCUGAGUUUCCAUUUGUCCAUGGGGAAAACGAGCCCCAUCCAUCUUGAGAAUUCAUUGCUCUCUAAAUGCAGAGCACACUUCCUGACCCUUUCCAGGAAGUAAUCCUACCCCAGAGUCUGCCUGGCUCUUUAGGAUGGAGACAGCCAUCGAGCCAUCAGCAGGUGGGACCCUCAGGAAUGCCUGGUGGGGACAAAUGUAUGCUUACUCAUCACCCACCUGGCCGUCUACUGCAUCCCCAGCGUGUGGAGAAGUUUCCUGUAAUUGUUUUAUGGAUGGUUCUCUCAGCAUUGUGUCUGGCCAUAAAAUAUACUCACUUAAUAGUCUCCAAGGAACUGCCAGGCCUUCUAGGCUAUAACUCCGAGCCCCCAGCCCCUCCUGCCUGGCCUGACACCUUGUUUGGUGAAUCUGAUUUGAUUUUGAUCUUAAAUCUGCUCUAACUGCCUCAGAGCAGAAGCCGCAGGGAGGGGGUGGGAGUCGGGGAGAGGAGGAUGGUUGCUGAGAAUUAUGACUCAGGCCCAUUAGGAAGGGAUGACCGCUCCCACAGUCCCUUCUAAAUCACGCCUGAGGAGACUGCCACUGAAUCCUGAGCAGGCCUGCGCUCGGCAGGCAGGGAACGUGGCGGGGAGGCUGGACGUGCGGGGACAGGCCCAGCUCCCCUCCAUACCCAGGCCCCCUCGGCCUUCAUCUUAGGCCUUCCAGGGCCUGCUGUGUCCUAGACACUCUUUCUCAGCCUUUCCAACACUUCCUUCCUCCCUCUGUAGGAGUCCAAGGCAUUGGUACCAAAAGGUAGCCUGUUGUAGGGGAUGGUGAAAAGGACAAGUCCCUCCGUGAGGGGGUUAGAGUUGCCGGAUGCUCCUCUGUUGCCUCACUUCUCUUCUCCAGGGAGAGAGUCACUGAGGAAACCUGGAGAGGAGGAGCACCCGCUGGCUCCUCCCCUAGAAGGGCCGGGCCAGCUGUUGGCUCAAGUCGAGGGCCCUGGCCACACCCCCACUCCAGGAGCCCCAUCUUCGUCUGCAUGGCCUCCUGGGGAAAACUGAUCCCUCCCACCUCUCUUCUCUCUUAGUAUUUGGGUCCAAGGAGAGUUUGGUGCAGAGGUUGAGGGCCUGAACUCUGCAGUCAGACCAUUUAGAUUUGAGUCUGGUUUCUACCAUGUCCUGUGUGACCUUGGAUGGUGACCUCACCUCCCUGUACUUUUGUGGCCUGGACUUUAAAGUGCAGGAUCAUGUGUGCAAGUCUCGUAGGAUCGUUGUGGGAAUUACCCGUAGACAGCUCUCCGAGCAGAGCCUGCUACCUAGUUGGGAUUUAAUAAGGGCUAGCAGCUGCCCCUGCUGUUUGUUAGGGGGCCCAGGGGUGGGAGGGUGAGUGGGAGUAGAGGGCUUCAGGACACACGCUGUGUGCUCACUUUCCACCAGACCGUGUCUUUCCUAAGUGUUGUUCAAGGUCUGGGAAGGGAGGGAGGAAGACCAUUGAGUAUGGGAAUAUGGGGGAGGCAAAGACCCCAAGGCAUGGUCCUUGCCUCCCAGUGCUUCCCUUCUGCUUGGGCUCCCACCACAGGGAGGACAUUCCAUGGCCCAGCCAAGCAGCAGAAACUUAGAGACUGGUUCCUGGGUUGGGGCCCAUCCACACUGGGCACUCUGAGAGGGAGUGACGAGAGGUUAGCAAGGACCCAGUCCCUUCCCAGACAUCGCCGUAGGGAGCAUUUUAUGGUCUGAAGGGCUGUUAAUUCAAAGGAAUAUAGUUCCUCAAUUCACUGAAUUUACCCUAAAUUAAUCCUCCCAAGCUUUGACUCCUACUUACGGUUUCCUGGGUGACUUUGGUCCCUGAGUCUGCACCAAACAAUCUUUUAGCAUUAGUGCCUAGACAUCUGAAAAAGUCACGAAGACAUGAUUUUUCUUUUCUCUUAGAACUGGAGGAGGCUUUAGGAACCAACUAAUCUCCUCCACUCUUUUAUAGAAGGGAAACUGAAGCUCAGAGAGUGGGAGUGGCUUCCCCGAGUCUACUGCGCCUCUCUCCCAAAGUGUCCCUGCAGUCCUGGUCACUGAAUCCCUACCCCCACCUUGGUAGGAGGGCGUGGAAAUCAUUCUUCCAGUUUUGGGAAAUGGAAGGGUUGAGACCCAGAUUGGGGAAGUGGCUCCCCUCAAACCACACCACAGGUCAGGUCAGCAUCAGAAAGAACCAAGCCAGAGGUUCUGACCCCUAGACCAGGGCUUUCCCCUCCCCCCACCGACCCCAACUGGCUUCACUGUCCAGAGAACCCUGAUAGUGUGCAGCGGAGGCCUCCCGGAGCUGAGCUGGGCAUGUUGCGGGCCAUGCUGUUCCAGGAGCUCCCUUGGAUGGAGAGAGAAGGGCCCCUGUCCCCCUCACCAAGCACCUGGCACCUGGCCGGGAGCCUGGCCUUCCAAACCACCCCUUGUCAGCUGCUUCUUUCAGCAGAGCGCACCACAGCCGAGAAGGAGCCUAGAGCCUUGAGUGCCAGGGCGGCUCCAAGCCUGUAUCAAGAGGAUUUUCAUAAACACAACUGUCUGUGUCUGGGCAGCCAUGUGGAAAGUUGCAAUAUCACCCACUGAUGUCAUGGGGCAGGGGAAACAAGAUUUCCAGAGGCAGCCGCGCUGCUCUUUCCAACCUCGGUGUGGAGCAGAAUCCCAGACAGGCUUCUGCAAGAAAGGGAAGGAAAAAAAAAACAAAACCCUGCAACAAAUUGCAAAACAAACCCUGAUUCUAAGGAGAAGGUUAGGGAAGGGGGCUGGGGAGUGCCUGGAGUCCCUGGGGAGGAACCGCUGGGCUGGGGCUUCUGGGACAGUGCAGGAUCACCCCCCCACCACCUGCCCAGGGAUCCAUCCUGGGGUCCCCAAGGCAGGGGCUUUCUGAGGAUGGUGUGGGCAGCCUGAACAGGAGGAGCUGCCAGGGCCCUUUGGAGCGCGCUGAGCUCUCCCUGAUGUCCAUCACCUCACAUCCUUGGGCUUUAGGCAUCACCUGUCAUUCCUCUUACCUCAGGCAGGAUUUCCUCCCAGCCUUGGCCAGACACUCACACUUGCUUUCUGCUCUCCUGGUUGUCAAGUUCUCCAGAUUUCAGAUCUCUGCGAUCUGUUCUACCACUGAUUCCGGGAUGACAUCUCUCAUUGAACUAACUCAAGUUCAUCCUGCUGCAGUUUAAACACAGUCCUCAUUCUCCACUAGGCAGGACCCGCCCCCAGAAGAGGGGAGUGGUGGGGAUGGGGCAUUCUUAGCUCUUGUUAGCAUCUCAUAGAAUGUUACCUUACUUCUUCCCUGUCUCCACUGGCUGGCAGACCUUGGUCAGGUCACUGAACUUCUCUGGACUGCAAUUUUCUCUUUUCUAAUACGGAGAAGCAGAGCGUGUAGGAGUCUGUAAGUUUCCUUGCAGUUCAAGAAGCCUAUAGCUUUAGGGCCAUCUGCAGAGGAGGAGGAGGAGGAGCUGUGUAGUACAGAUGACUCUAAAAGAUAUAUCGUGGAUUUGUUAACACUUAUUGGGAUUUUUUUCCAAUUAAAAGGUAAUCAUUCGAAUUGCAGAAAGCUUGAAAACCAAGAGUAAGC